UACAGAGGUCUCGAGCGUUGUUCGGAUUCAUUGGGCGUAAAGGGUGCGUAGGUGGCUAGGUAAGUCGGAUGUGAAAUCCCGGGCUCAACCCCGGAACUGCAUUCGAUACUGCCUGGCUAGAGUACUGGAGAGGAGAUUGGAAUUUACGGUGUAGCAGUGAAAUGCGUAGAUAUCGUAAGGAAGACCAGUGGCGAAGGCGGAUCUCUGGACAGUUACUGACACUGAGGCACGAAGGCCAGGGAGCAAACGGGAGUAGAAACCCCUGUUAGUACCCAUCAAGUCUCAGAGUCCGUA
rnacentral:rRNA from 1 species